GAUGAACGCUGGCGGCGUGCUUAACACAUGCAAGUCGAACGGUGAUGCUCCUGUUUGUUGGAGCGGAUCUGUGGAGAUCGGGUGUGUAACACGUGAGCAUCCUGAACCAGACUCUGGCAUACCCGCUGGAAACGGCGUAUAAUACGGGAUACGAAAUUGGCCCGCAUGGGCAUGGUUUGGAAAGUUAUUCGGUUUGGGAUGGGCUCGCGGCCUAUCAGCUUGUUGGUGAGGUUAUGGCUCACCAAGGCGACGACGGGCAGCAGGCCUGAGAGGGCGACCGGCCACACUAGGACUGAGACGCGGCCCAGCCUCCUACGGGAGGCAACAGUGGAGAAUAUUGCACAAUGGGCUAAAGCCUGAUGCGACGACGCCGCGUGAGGUAUGACGGCCUUCGGUUUGGAAACCACUUUCAGCAGAGAAGAAGCGAAAGUGACGGUACCUGCAUAAGAAGCACCGGCUAACUACGUG
rnacentral:rRNA from 1 species